rnacentral:rRNA from 1 species
UACGGGGGGGGCAAGCGUUGUUCGGAAUUACUGGGCGUAAAGGGCUCGUAGGUGGCCAACUAAGUCAGACGUGAAAUCCCUCGGCUUAACCGGGGAACUGCGUCUGAUACUGGAUGGCUUGAGUUCGGGAGAGGGAUGCGGAAUUCCAGGUGUAGCGGUGAAAUGCGUAGAUAUCUGGAGGAACACCGGUGGCGAAGGCGGCAUCCUGGACCGACAUUGACGCUGAAAACCGAAAGCUAGGGGAGCAAACGGG